GGUCUCGUGGCGCUGACCUGCGCAGACGCACCCCAGGCGCCACGCUUACACCGUGGACGUCGGGGGUUCGAGUCCCUCCGGGCCCA
rnacentral:tRNA from 1 species